CAGCUGGGACAGCCACUGCAGCACCGCUCUGCUCUCUCGCCUCCCCAGCGGCAGACACCCCAGCCUGUGCCACGGCCACUGCUCAGGAUGGGGAAGGAGGUUUGAUUUGCCCAAGGACCACCAGGGAAUCACUGCAUGGGCUGACCCCAGCUGCAGCCCUCCUGCAUGGCUGCCUGUCACUCCAGCUAAGCAGAGGAGCUGCCGUUACCAGCACCCUUUCCCUUUCUAAUCUGAAGGCAGCCCUGCGGUGAGAGAGUCCCAGCGUCACCCAUCACCCCAGCAGGUCAGGGGCCCUGGAGUCCCCCCUUGAUGAAUGACCUUAGCAGGAAAGAGAAAUCUGCCCCCUCUCCAUGCCCCACACCCACAGCCAAACAGUGGCUUCUCACCACUCCAGCUUCCUUUCCAAGAGGGUCCAAGCUCCCACCGUGGCUUCCACACUAUUCAGACACUUCCUAAGUUCACGGGUCAUUCCAGUGCUUUGCCACUUCCAGGGAAAUCAGCACUGGAAAUGCAAGUCAGCAAAUAGGACAGAAGCCCAGGAACCAAGGGUAGGGCCCAGGGAGCCCUACCAGGGGCUGGCAAUCUAGGGCAAGUCUCUCCCCUCCAGGCUCGUCUCCUCCUCUGUUGUCGGAUAAAGCAAAUCGCUUCCAGCUCUAUAUGCCCCGCCAUCUUUUUGUAAUUAAUAUUUCAACUGAUUACAUGAGUUAGAGGAAACCAAACAAUGAGGAUGAUGAAAACAAAAAGUGUUUGCAUUGGAAUUUACACAAUGAACUCACCCUAGAACUAUUCCAGAAUUAAAAGCCUCUUAAAAUACGGUCAGAUGCAGCAUAGGCCAACCCAUGCUGCUUUGAGCUGCUUCCAGUGGUCUUGGUUGGAAAGAAUGGACUGCCUAGGAUGGAGGGGGAGUGGGGUGGGGUGGGGAGGUGGGGGCCUGCACAGAACCUGGGGGAGCAAACCCUGGCCUCAGACAUGAAGUCUGACAAAAGAGCCUUGUGUGGUGUAGGGCUCAGAGUCCAGUUUCUUGUGCUGAGAACCAAGUGGAGGAUCGCGUGUCUGCCUACCCGCCCCAUGUCCCCCCACCCCAUCCCCCCACUGAGCGCCCACUGCUUGCAUCGGGGCCAUCAGGAAUAGCAGUGAGGGGGGCUCUGUGGCUCCCUGGAGCUCUCAGCCGCCUUGCAUAUCUCCAGGGGCUUCUGGAAUGGUCUGGAUCUGUAUACAGUUUCAGGGUUUCCUUGCUUUUCCAGUCUGAGACUGAAACUCAUCCUCUAAGCAUUUGAAAGAAACAACAGGAAAACUCAAUCCUCUUUCCUUCCACAGCACAUUUAGGGUGAGAGCUUCACAGCUGAAAAUCUCCUUUAAAGAAAACGCGGCCCAAAUAUGCUGGGAGGAGAAGCCAGUGGAUCUAGGAGGGGCCGGCGUUGCCGGCUCUGUCUCUGGGCUGACAACCUGGUUUCAGUAUUGGUAAGUGGGUCAACCCCAGCUCCAGCGGCUCCUCCUCACCUCUGCCGAUUGAGGGCCACUGCAAAUUUCAAGCAGAAUAAAAGAGUAUUCUGAGGGCCACUGCAAA
rnacentral:lncRNA from 1 species